CAUGGCACAAUGAGGAAUAUAUAUUAUUAACAAUCUGUUUGAUUGACAUAUUAUUAGUCCUUUUCAUUCUGAGUGCCCA